CUCAGCUAAUCACAUCUUGGGGGAAAGUAAGGUGAGUUACAGUUCUCUUCAUGUCUGAGACAAGAUGUGGUGUAUUCUUUCUCAAUUUGACACCCAUGAAGUUAACCGACACACAGUUCAGAAGGGCGCAGGCAGGCUGUCAGCAGUUCAGAUUCAAAGAUCCUUCAGCAGUCCCCUAGACCAGUGUUACUCAGGUGAGCUGCUCUGUGAACAGCUACCUCAAGCACUGAUACACUUCAUAGCAAUUUGUCAGAAUCAGUUUUUUUAAUCUCUUGGGAACUUCCAUAUGCCAUGGGUGUGGCCCUAACAAAAACAAACAAAAAACCGGUGAAAGGGGCCGUGAGAGCUCUAAGGCUAAACUUUCACACUGGAUACACCAAAGGCAGGUUUUAGAGUUUAUCCUCUCAGUGUCUAUUAACUCUCUUGCCUUGAGGUCCACUGGGUAGACCAUGCCCCAUCCUCACCCACGGUGGGGUCAAUGAUCCAUGGACUUGCAUCUCCUUUGGAAAUACUGUCUUGGUAAUGGAGGGUCUGGCCAGUGGUAACACUUCUGUAACCCUGCCUCCCAGGCAUUCUCAUCUCCCUUUCCCCACACCCACCCUUCACAGCAACGUGCAGCCCCCAAAAUCUAACACAAGGUAGUGAGAAUUCAGUAGGCUAAGGUGUUGCUGCUGCUUCUCCAUCGCUACCCCAUCAAGCUUGCUCUUACAGGAGACCUGAAUUGGGUGAAUGUAAACACCCUCUGCCCCGAGUAGCUUCGCAUCUGUAAAGAAUUUUUCCCUAAAGGACAGUCAGGUAAUUUCAUAAGCAAGAGCCUCCUUCCAUAUCACUCAGCAUGACUAAAAUGCUCUGAUAACUUUCCAAUGCCUGGAUUUUUCAAGAAACUUUUAAAAAGGAAAACAAAACCGUAGCCAGGCCCUGGAGUAGAAAAACUGGUUUCGGUUUAAAAAAAUAAAUAAACAAGAGCCUUUGGAAAAAAAAAAUCUCUAUUUAAAAAUUUCUUAAAUUUGUCUCUAAAUGCAAGUUGUAAUUAAUAGAAGUUGGAGUUUAUACUGUUGAGUGUAAAAACACCCUCAGGCACAAACUAAUCGAGUGUGUAUGUCAUACUGUAAACUACAGCAAGUUCUUUGUUUGACCCAAAAAAGGCUUGCCAAACAGCAGUUUUUUCUUUGUCAAGCUCCUUUAUUGUCUCAUUUUUGUUUUCUCCCCCUGCCCCCCCACCAAAUCCCUUUGAACCUCCCUGUAGUAUUUAAGAAACUUUGCAGGUUCCAUGUUUUAUUGAUAGUUUUCAUCAAGCAUGAAUUUAAAUUUGAGAAUAGAUUAGGUGUCUUAGCCCUUUUUUCUUUUUGAUAAAUAACAAGAGGUUUCUACUUACGAUUUUCUGUCCUCGGGGCUUUAUCAUUAAGAUUAAAUAACUGUAUUCUCAAGCAUGCCACUGCACAAACAUCUUUUCAAUUAUGUGAGUAACAGAUGCCUUCACAAAGGAACUAUUGAAAAUUCAGAAAGCAUGUUUCCAAAAAAGAAAGGGGGAAAAAAGUAUCAGAUGACAGAAGAAUGUAAUUGUUUACCAUUAAAAUAUAUCCUUAACUCUUCCACUGAAAACCUCUUGGAACAUGUUGGUUUUGUACAAGUUAUUACAAAGUUUGAUCAACAUAAUUCAUGUUGGGGGGAUUGUUGGACAUUUCAGAAGCUCUGGAAUCUGUGGCAUCUCACUUACAUGGGACUUAUGUCUGUUUUUACAAAGGAACACUGCCUGCCUUCAUUUGAGGGCUGCACAUCCUGUUGAAAACACUGUAGUUAUAUGUGUCUGUUAUUCCUGAAAUAAUGUUCAUCUGCCCUUGAAAUGGAUCCAUGCAGCUCGAUUGUGAGUCAGUCAUUGUUGUCUCAUUGAGAAGAACAAUUGCUGCCAUCUUUGCUGGCUGGCACUGUGAAGGGCUGGAUACUAUUUAUGGACAGUGUCCUCUGUUGUGAGCAGGUAUUUUGAUCCCUGGGACGUAAAGUUGGCCUUUCUUAAAUCCAUGUCAGCUUUCUUCAGUGUGAUCUUCCUUUGAAAGAUAGGGGACUAAUAUCAAUCCUAGAUCCUCUUAGAAGAGGCAGUGAAGAAGCAGAGCCCCUAAGGAGCAUUGAGUCCUUGGGAACCUUGGGCUUGGUAAGACUAAGUGCUGGAAUUCAUGGGAGAUAUGAUUCCUGGGUGUCUCUUACCAUCCAACAUCAAGGUGAUCCAGCAAGGGAUACCACCUCUUGGAGAGUUGUGGCAUGGCUGCCCCGGUAUACUGUAUAAAGAGUAGUGUGGCUGGUGCCCAAGCCAUAGAUAGGGCUGCUUCUCUGGGAGGGAGCCCACCCUUUGUGGAAUAGCCACAUGUGUAUUCUGUAGGUCUGUUGCCUCUGAGAAAAGGAGCAUGCUCACCCUGAUUUUGUAGACAGUUCCUUGGGAGUUUGGAAUUCUCUUAGCCCAGGAAUAAUCAUUUCAGUAUCCCCCCAGUGUUGGUGUUUCUCAAUGUGUGAAGAUGCACAGCUACCGUGAGGGGAUGAAGACAGCUCAGAGAGACAGGCAGAGCUGUGUCUGAACUCAAAUUCUGGCAUUCAAGAGUUGUUUGCCUUUCACUAGUCAUUUCAUUACUUCCCACUGAAACUUUGUAAAGCCAGGAGCAGGCAUACAAAGUGCAAGUGCCUGGUAUUGUUAGGAAUUUAAUACAUGGCAGCUGCUAUUAACAUUGCAGCACCUCAUCAGUAGAAGUUUCUCUCCACGUCCUCUCAGCUCACCUCUAAUUCCGGCCCCCACUGCCCAUGUAACUUCAGCUACCUGGCUGGAGCUACCUGUCAUCUUGGAGUCACCUAUCUCAUACCGACACAUCUUUAUGGGAGUCAGGCCACCAUUUUUCUGGAUCCUAGCACCUUUCUUUCCUUCCUUUGGCUAGUUAGGGUCCUAGUCACUCCAGGACUAUGGAUGACGAUGUCAGGGUCCUCAGUGGGUCUAAGAAACAAACACUCUCAUCACUUCCAGAGGCAAAUAGAGAAUAUUAGCGCCUUCAAAAGAUUAUUUUUUUUCUUUUUUGCUUUUUAGGGCCGUGCUCACAGCAUAUGGAGGUUCCCAGGCUAGGGGUCAAAUCAGAGCUACAGCUGCCAGCCUAUGCCACAGCCACAGCAAUGCAAGAUCCAAACCACAUCUGCGCCCUUCACCACAGCUCACGGCAACACCAGAUCCUUAACGCACUGAGCGAGGCCAGGGAUCGAACCUGCAACCUCAUGGUUCCUAGUUGGAUUUGUUUCCACUGCGCCGUGACAGGAACUCCUCAAAAGGUUUUCUUGUUCAUCUUCUGCUGUCCCUUGAGUGGGUAAUGAAGCUCCUGGUGAGCUGAUCAUUCUCCCAAGGAAGAGCUUUUCUGAAGACAAGUGGCAUGUUUUGUUGAUUGUUGAUGAUAACGGGCCGCAUCCCUUUUAGACACCUCAGUGUUGAUACAAAUGAUCCUAUUUAUGCCUCUUUCAUUUUUAAAGAGCUCUGUAUAGUUUAUUGUACACAACACCAGUACAGUAUAUAGAGUUGUGUGGAGUAACUGAUGGGCAAGCUAAGUCUUCUACAAAGAACUCACCGUAGAAUGGAAUCCCAUUCUCCAGCCCUUCUCUUGGCCCAGGUGGGUCCUCCACUGGUUAGUUCUCCACAGCCUCCAUGUCAGCAUGACACCUCCCUCUACAGUUGAGUGCUCAGAGCUUUCAGUUCCCACCUUCAUCUGUUGGAAAGGGACACUGAAGUCCUCUUUGUCAGCUCUCUUGGUUAUUGAGCUUUUGCUCCUCACACACAGAAUGCCUUUUUUUUUUUUUUCCUGCCUCACUGAAACUCACACCAUAAAAUGGCAGAGAUCUUUCUCUGGGGCCCACAUUUUUCUUACAUGGAGCUUGGCUUUUAAAAGUAUAGGAACAGGAAUUCCUGCUGUGGUGCAACAGGAUUGGUGGCGUCUCUGGAGCUCUGGGAUGCAGGUUCCAUACAUGGCCCAGCACAGUGGGCUAAGGAUCUGGUGUUGCUGCAGCUGCAGUGUACCUUGCAAUUGCAGCUCUAUCUGAUCCCUGGCCUGGGAACUUCCAUGUGCCAUGGGGUGGCCCCAAGAAAACCCAAAAAACAAAAAAAUAGGAACAAAGCAGCACCAUUACUAUUAUUAUACUCAACCAGCGUUUUGCCCAUUGGAGGAGACAUUCCUCCUUUGCACACUGACACAGCGCAUGUCUGUAUUUGACUUUUGUUUUGGGACCUGCCCUCCAAAUGCUUCUCCCCGACUUUUCACGUGAUGGGCUAGCACCCUGAGCUGGAGGUCAGCAGUAGAUGAGAUUAGAACUCUGUACUUCUUGGAACCUUAACAAGUGUGUGUACUUCAUCUUCACAAAAGGAAAACAUACCUUCUGUUGGCGCCAUAUUUGGUGAAAGAUUGCUUCCCACACUUCACAAUGAAGUUAUAUUUUCAGUUUCUGGCUGAGAAGGGAAAUGUCUGGCCAGACCUUAGACUGUAUCAACCCUGGAAUCAAUGGAGAUAGAAUGACUCCAUUUGGGAUCAGAUCAGGUCUGAAGCCUCAGUGGAACCAAUAUGUCAUUUCUUUCGACUACCACGGAAAAAACCUAAUAGUGUAAGAAUAGUAGUAGCAUUUUUUGCCCUGAUAUACACACCAACUUUAUCCCCCUCUGCCCCGAAAAUAUUCUCCAAGGGGACUAGCAGAUCUCUGAGAUUACAAUAUUUCACUGGUUUGAUACCAUACAAGUACCUAUGAAGUAACAAGGGUGAGUUUGAGGUUCAAAUACAAUCCUAAAGAUCUGCUCCUUCCCCCACUCUUCAGGUUGAGUCAGUCCCAGACAUUAUUAUAAUAUCAUUUUUCAGAGCUCUAUAAAUAGACAGAUUCUCAUUUCUCUUAAGUACUGUUUGCUAAAUGUUUUGGCCCAAAAGUUCAGUCAUUCCAUGCAAGCAUUAAUCAAUACAGGAGACAUUAGUGGUUACUCGUUCUGAUGAGAUUUGACAUUAUUUUUCCUCUGCCUGUGGGGAGGGGAGGAGGAUGUUGCCUAAUAAAGAUGAAGGGUCUUUGCUUCUUUUGUAUGAAAUGCAAAUGAUGAGGACGUGUGCAAUAUACAUUUCUCAAAUGUGAGGCUGCUGCUUUUUGUUGAGAGAGAGGCAAGGCCCUGGAGGAUUUUAGAAUUUGUAAAUAUAAAAUUAUCUGCCUUCAUGUUUAAAAAAAAUAAUAAAAGGGAGAAAGACUUGGCAGGUUGCCAGAUUACUUACAUUACAGUAAUAGAUUUGCUGACCUCUGACUUCUGCUGUAGAGAAAUGUAUUGAAUUUUUCAUAAUAUCAGAUGAGGCAGAUCUAAAAACCUAGUAUACUGAGCACCAUUAUUUAACUUGAGAUUUAACAAAGCCGAAAUCUUUUCAAACCAGCAAUUUCUUGUAUGAUGAUAAUUUAGUGGCUCAGACACUAAUAAAUCAAGGUUAUAAUGCCAUUGAUUUGUUAAUUUUAACUUGGGUUGAUUUUAAGUCAUCUUUAUUUAAAAAAAAAAUAAAAGGAGGAGGAGGAAGAGGAGAAAAAAAAUCUUGCUUUUCACAGUGACUGAAUUUAAUAAGAAUCUCCGUGAUAGCAAAAGGCUCCCCUACUGUUUCUGCUUUGGGGUGGAAAAUGUUAUUCUUGUAUUAUUCCUAGGGAAAAAUAAAAUCUCAUGCUGCUACAAAUCUUACGCCUAUGGAAAGAUUUUUUUUUUUUUUAAUACAUGAUGGCUUACCUAUUUCAGAUCCAUUAAUGGCAUCAUAAAUAAGCAUUUUGCUAAUCUGAAAUGUGAAAUCAGGAUAAUAGUAAAGGCCCAUUUAUCCACCCAGCUUUCAAUGCACCGACUACAUGUAGAUGUAGGGGGUGCGGGGGGAGCUCUCUGGAUUUUCUAAUGAAUAUAUUGCUUCUCUUCCCCAUCACUUCCAUCCACCAGAAAUCCACACCACAUUCUAAAGAGUUGCAGCCCAUUGAAAAUAUUUCUCCUGGGUAAUUAGUUCUUAGGGGCUGGGGUGCAUUAUUUGCUUUUAUCUGUACAGUUUAGAAGCUGAUUAAAUCUUUGUUGUACUACAAAUAUUUGAGGAAUAGUCAUCUGCAAGGCACAGUCAUGUUGCUUUAGACUAAAUUCUUUAUGCAAUACAAUGCUUCCUGCGUUGGGCCAUGUUGACCUUAGGUUGGCUAACCUGUCUUUAGUGGUAUCGCGUGUACGUUAAAUGUUGAAAUGUUCAGAAACCCGUAAUAGCUCUCGUCCUCUUGUACUGUAAAAACUUCUAAUAAUCAGAUGAUAAGAUCAUAUCCUGUGGGGUAAUUGUGUUGUACCGUGACAGGAUAACUGAAAAAACAUUCAGUGAAAAUCGCACUGAACGGAAAUCACUACAUGAACAGCGAUUGUUCAGCUGGGUGAGACCACGCUCAAUUCUUCAGGGCUUAGCUGGUCAUAUUUCUACUUGUUUCCUUUUAGCUGCUGCCUUUCUUGUUUUAUUUUGGGAGCCUUUUUUUCCCUGAGCCACUAUAAUUAUCUUUCAGUGAUUUAGAAGGGGAAAAAAAAACACUCAAUUGACCUUUACACACACACACAGACUACACACUCACUCACUCACAAGCACACUCCCUCUGGAAGCCUUGAACAAGCAGGGUUUGUGUUUGGAUUCAGUUUUACCUUAGUCAUGCCUCUUUCCAGAUACAAGAAACAUUUAAUUCCAGAUUUCCUGCUUCUGGCUUUAGGCCUUUGACCAGCAAAGUGAAAUGUAUUUUUUACUGCUGUCGGCCAGCCAGCUGCUGAGUUGAGUGAAGGGAAGGGAAAAAAAAAAAAAAAAAA
rnacentral:lncRNA from 1 species